rnacentral:rRNA from 1 species
UACGAAGGGGGCUAGCGUUGCUCGGAAUCACUGGGCGUAAAGCGCACGUAGGCGGCUUUCUAAGUCAGGGGUGAAAUCCUGGAGCUCAACUCCAGAACUGCCUUUGAUACUGGAAAGCUCGAGUCCGGGAGAGGUGAGUGGAACUCCGAGUGUAGAGGUGAAAUUCGUAGAUAUUAGGAAGAACACCAGUGGCGAAGGCGGCUCACUGGUCCGGUACUGACGCUGAGGUGCGAAAGCGUGGGGAGCAAACAGG